ensembl:snRNA U6 U6 spliceosomal RNA
AAGCUCACUUAGGCAGCACAUAUACUAAGAUUGGAACAAUCCAGAGAAGACUGGCAUGGCCCCUGCACAAAGAUGACACGCAAAUUUGUGAAGCACUCCAUUUUUUG